GACGAACGCUGGCGGCGUGCCUAAUACAUGCAAGUCGAACGAACUCUGGUAUUGAUUGGUGCUUGCAUCAUGAUUUACAUUUGAGUGAGUGGCGAACUGGUGAGUAACACGUGGGAAACCUGCCCAGAAGCGGGGGAUAACACCUGGAAACAGAUGCUAAUACCGCAUAACAACUUGGACCGCAUGGUCCGAGUUUGAAAGAUGGCUUCGGCUAUCACUUUUGGAUGGUCCCGCGGCGUAUUAGCUAGAUGGUGAGGUAACGGCUCACCAUGGCAAUGAUACGUAGCCGACCUGAGAGGGUAAUCGGCCACAUUGGGACUGAGACACGGCCCAAACUCCUACGGGAGGCAGCAGUAGGGAAUCUUCCACAAUGGACGAAAGUCUGAUGGAGCAACGCCGCGUGAGUGAAGAAGGGUUUCGGCUCGUAAAACUCUGUUGUUAAAGAAGAACAUAUCUGAGAGUAACUGUUCAGGUAUUGACGGUAUUUAACCAGAAAGCCACGGCUAACUACGUGCCAGCAGCCGCGGUAAUACGUAGGUGGCAAGCGUUGUCCGGAUUUAUUGGGCGUAAAGCGAGCGCAGGCGGUUUUUUAAGUCUGAUGUGAAAGCCUUCGGCUCAACCGAAGAAGUGCAUCGGAAACUGGGAAACUUGAGUGCAGAAGAGGACAGUGGAACUCCAUGUGUAGCGGUGAAAUGCGUAGAUAUGUGGAAGAACACCAGUGGCGAAGGCGGCUGUCUGGUCUGUAACUGACGCUGAGGCUCGAAAGUAUGGGUAGCAAACAGGAUUAGAUACCCUGGUAGUCCAUACCGUAAACGAUGAAUGCUAAGUGUUGGAGGGUUUCCGCCCUUCAGUGCUGCAGCUAACGCAUUAAGCAUUCCGCCUGGGGAGUACGGCCGCAAGGCUGAAACUCAAAGGAAUUGACGGGGGCCCGCACAAGCGGUGGAGCAUGUGGUUUAAUUCGAAGCUACGCGAAGAACCUUACCAGGUCUUGACAUACUAUGCAAAUCUAAGAGAUUAGACGUUCCCUUCGGGGACAUGGAUACAGGUGGUGCAUGGUUGUCGUCAGCUCGUGUCGUGAGAUGUUGGGUUAAGUCCCGCAACGAGCGCAACCCUUAUUAUCAGUUGCCAGCAUUAAGUUGGGCACUCUGGUGAGACUGCCGGUGACAAACCGGAGGAAGGUGGGGAUGACGUCAAAUCAUCAUGCCCCUUAUGACCUGGGCUACACACGUGCUACAAUGGAUGGUACAACGAGUUGCGAACUCGCGAGAGUAAGCUAAUCUCUUAAAGCCAUUCUCAGUUCGGAUUGUAGGCUGCAACUCGCCUACAUGAAGUCGGAAUCGCUAGUAAUCGCGGAUCAGCAUGCCGCGGUGAAUACGUUCCCGGGCCUUGUACACACCGCCCGUCACACCAUGAGAGUUUGUAACACCCAAAGUCGGUGGGGUAACCUUUUAGGAACCAGCCGCCUAAGGUGGGACAGAUGAUUAGGGCG
rnacentral:rRNA from 1 species